rnacentral:rRNA from 1 species
CAGUCGCCACGGUAAUACGAAGGGGGCUAGCGUUGCUCGGAAUGACUGGGCGUAAAGGGCGCGUAGGCGGCGAUCAAAGUCAGGCGUGAAAUUCCUGGGCUCAACCUGGGGGCUGCGUUUGAUACUUGAUUGCUAGAGUGCGGCAGAGGGGGAUGGAAUUCCGCGUGUAGCAGUGAAAUGCGUAGAUAUGCGGAGGAACACCGAUGGCGAAGGCAAUCCCCUGGGCCUGCACUGACGCUCAUGCACGAAAGCGUGGGGAGCAAACAGGAUUAGAUACCCCUGUAGUCCCUGUCUCUUAUAC